UACGGAGGGUGCGAGCGUUAAUCGGAAUCACUGGGCGUAAAGCGCGCGUAGGCGGUCUGUUAAGUCAGAUGUGAAAGCCCUGGGCUCAACCUGGGAAUUGCAUUUGAUACUGGCGGGCUGGAGUCUGGUAGAGGGGGGGUGGAAUUCCAGGUGUAGCGGUGAAAUGCGUAGAUAUCUGGAGGAACACCCGUGGCGAAGGCGGCCCCCUGGACCAAGACUGACGCUGAGGUGCGAAAGCGUGGGGAGCAAACAGG
rnacentral:rRNA from 1 species